CCUACGGGUGGCAGCAGUGAGGAAUAUUGGUCAAUGGGCGAUAGCCUGAACCAGCCAAGUAGCGUGAAGGAUGACUGCCCUAUGGGUUGUAAACUUCUUUUAUCUGGGAAUAAAGUGCAGUAUGUAUACUGCUUUGCAUGUACCUUAUGAAUAAGGAUCGGCUAACUCCGUGCCAGCAGCCGCGGUAAUACGGAGGAUUCGAGCGUUAUCCGGAUUUAUUGGGUUUAAAGGGAGCGUAGGCGGGUUGUUAAGUCAGUUGUGAAAGUUUGGGGCUCAACCGUAAAAUUGCAGUUGAUACUGGCAGCCUUGAGUACAGGAGAGGUAUGCGGAAUUCGUGGUGUAGCGGUGAAAUGCUUAGAUAUCACGAAGAACUCCGAUUGCGAAGGCAGCCUGCUGGACUGUAACUGACGCUGAUGCUCGAAAGUGUGGGUAUCAAACAGGAUUAGAUACCCCAGUAGUC
rnacentral:rRNA from 1 species